UUUGCAGCUGUCACACCCACAUUCCCAGUAGCAGAUAGAAGAAAGGAGAAAAAAGAGACUGGCAGAGGUUUAUGGAAGCUGCCAUGUGAUACUCCCACUUACACCCCAUUGGCCAGACCUUAGCCACAUGACUAAAUUCUAACUGCAAGGAAGGCUGGGAAAUGCUCUUUUUAUUCUAAACAGCCAUCCUUCCCAAUAAACAUGUCAUUACUUAGGAAGAGGAGGAGAAUGGCUGUGAAGGGCAACCCAUUGGUCUCUGUCCAUCUUUCACUGAUUAGAGACACCGUCACCUGAUGGGGCAGAAGGAAGUAGCCAGCCAUCAGAGGUGUCAAAGCAGGGAUAUGUAAUUGUGUGUGUGAGUUGCUUUUUUCCUUGGAUGUAGUUGUCUGAAUUUACCUCGCCACAUUCUUUUCUCUUCCUUACAGGACCACUCUUGCUAGGAGCCACCUAGGGUGGGUUCUUCUGGGUGUUCUGACAGACUGUCCAUCCAUGUCAGGUUCACAAGGGCACGAAGUGCAGUAUAUAAAAAGAGGAUAAUGACUUGACUUGAGUGCAGGAAAAGGCCCAAUGAACAGAGCAGCCAAGCUUGCCCGGACGAGAAUAGAUGAAAGUUUGGAGAAGAGUCAAGAAGAAAUGGCAUUGUCUGCAUGACCGUCUGGAUUCCAGAAGCUUGCUUGAAACUCUUUCCGUGAUUAAGAAUUGUAGUCCCUCUCACAAUCUCAUCCAAGGAACAUCUGCUCAGAGAAGCCAGUCAAUAUUGUGGAGAAGUUCAAAGAAUGCAGACCAUUAGUAGUGUCAGCUUUACAACCAGGAGCAUCCUAAUAAGUCAUCCUUGAUUUCAUUAGGAGGGAAUAUAAACAAUAUCCAAUUUUACUGUAAUAAAUAUUUCUACCUGAUUACAUCAUUACGUGGAUUUCAUUGAAAGAAAUACAUCUAGGCUCUUGGAAGACCUUAAGAGGUAAGUAAUUAAACAAAAUAGUAGUGAAAAUAGAGAAAGGAUCUAAUAGAACCUGUUCUUAAACAGCCAAUAUUAAUUUAAUCAGUCUGCUCUUGAGUUGUAUACCUGCCAACUUCCACAGAAGUUCUGAGCUUAAAUAAAGUUGCAAGACAGAUUUUUUAAAGAUCAUAUAAAGGAAAGAUUAAGUAAUUAUAAACUAGAGACAUAACUUUUGGCUUAAACCAAAGGGAAAUAUGAUAAAUUAUAUAAAUCCUAAUUUCUAAUUAAUGGAAAUACAUGGAUUUAUCAGGGAAGUCAGACCUUAUUCUAAAAGAAAAAAAUCCAGAAAGAAGUUUUUUAUUGAUGGUUGGGUUUUAAACAAUUAGUUUCAAAAUGAAAAUCAUUUAGAUCAUUAUCUCUUAAGGUCCUGGCCUUCAUGUUUCAGCAGAGAAAAAGACUGGAAGGUAGGAUCUCUAUAUACACCUUAUAUUCCACCAUUUGAAAGUAUCAACAAACCAGAGGAAAUUAAUGCUGUGUGUAUUAUUUUGGCUGAAGAACCUCUAAGUAAAGAUAUAAGUAAAUACAGAAAAAUUUUAAGCAAAAUCACAAGACAAUAGGAUAAAACAGUGGUUUAUCAAAAUCAAGCUUAUUAUCUAAUUGCCUGUUACCUAAGGAAGAAAACCCAGUUGAAUGUUUUUUGACCAUUUUUGAUCUCACUGGCUUUGAAAUCACCAUUUUGAAGAACAGUUCUUAUCAUAAAAUAAGCUAUACAUUCUUGGAGGACACAGAUUUUACCUUGUUCAUCGUCCCUGUUAUAGAGCUAUUAUAUGAGCAGGCGCCUGGUAAAGAGUAGGUAGGUAUCUAUAACCAUUGGCGAGGUUGAAGGGAAGUGUCCACGAUGGUGAAAAGGACUAGAGUAAGGAGAUUUCUCGUGCAUUGACUCUGGCAAUCACCCCAAGCAUUGGUUGAUUGUUUGUUUGUUUUAAAUAAACCCUUGGUAGAAUCUUAGGGUAUUAAAACUGGAAGGAUCUUCGUGUUAAAGUUUGAUGUGUUCCAUCAUACCCCCUGCCCUGCCAAUUUCAGAAAGAGUUGAGAAUUAGUCAUAGAUUGCCAGUAGAGCUGUAUUGGAAAAUACUUUUGUACUCGAGAUCCAGUGGAAUUUCUAAAAUUGUUACCUGCUUAUGAAGAGAAGAUUGGGUCUGCAGGAUGGACAGAGACCCAAAGCAGUUAUAAGGGAAUACACACACACACACAC